CUACGGGAUGCUGCAGUGGGGAAUUUUGGACAAUGGGGGCAACCCUGAUCCAGCCAUUCCGCGUGAGUGAAGAAGGCCUUCGGGUUGUAAAGCUCUUUCGCAAGGGAAGAAACGAUACAGUCUAAUAAACUGUGUUAAUGACGGUACCUUGAUAAGAAGCACCGGCUAACUACGUGCCAGCAGCCGCGGUAAUACGUAGGGUGCGAGCGUUAAUCGGAAUUACUGGGCGUAAAGCGUGCGCAGGCGGUUUUGAAAGUCAGAUGUGAAAUCCCCGGGCUCAACCUGGGAACUGCGUUUGAAACUCCAAAGCUAGAGUAUGGGAGAGGGGGGUAGAAUUCCACGUGUAGCAGUGAAAUGCGUAGAGAUGUGGAGGAAUACCAAUGGCGAAGGCAGCCCCCUGGCUUAAUACUGACGCUCAUGCACGAAAGCGUGGGGAGCAAACAGGAUUAGAUACCCUGGUAGUC
rnacentral:rRNA from 1 species